AUGACAGUUUCCUUAUCUUCUCUCACAUCUUCCCUCUAUUCACUUUCCUUUUCUUCCAAUGUCUUUCGCAAACCAACCAUUCUUUCUCUCCCCAGAACCUUCUCCCUCUAUCACUCUUCUAAACUCCCCUCCCUAACCGUAUCCACAACAUCACUCGCUCCUCCCGUCGAAUCAGAAACUGCUGACCUUAAGACGUACGUUAAAUCAAUACUUUCUGGUGGAUUCGCCGCUUAA